rnacentral:rRNA from 1 species
UACGGAGGGGGCUAGCGUUGUUCGGAAUUACUGGGCGUAAAGCGUGCGCAGGCGGUUUCUUAAGUCAGAUGUGAAAGCCCCGGGCUUAACCUGGGAACUGCGUUUGAAACUGGGAGACUUGAGUGUGGCAGAGGGGGGUGGAAUUCCACGUGUAGCAGUGAAAUGCGUAGAUAUGUGGAGGAACACCGAUGGCGAAGGCAGCCCCCUGGGUUAACACUGACGCUCAUGCACGAAAGCGUGGGGAGCAAACAGG